UAAGGAAUAUUGCUCAAUGGGAGAAAUCCUGAAGCAGCAACGCCGCGUGAGUGAUGACGGCCUUCGGGUUGUAAAGCUCUGUCUUCAGGGACGAUAAUGACGGUACCUGAGGAGGAAGCCACGGCUAACUACGUGCCAGCAGCCGCGGUAAUACGUAGGUGGCGAGCGUUGUCCGGAUUUACUGGGCGUAAAGGGAGCGUAGGCGGACUUUUAAGUGAGAUGUGAAAUACCCGGGCUCAACUUGGGUGCUGCAUUUCAAACUGGAAGUCUAGAGUGCAGGAGAGGAGAAUGGAAUUCCUAGUGUAGCGGUGAAAUGCGUAGAGAUUAGGAAGAACACCAGUGGCGAAGGCGAUUCUCUGGACUGUAACUGACGCUGAGGCACGAAAGCGUGGGGAGCAAACA
rnacentral:rRNA from 1 species